rnacentral:rRNA from 1 species
GUGGCAUGCUGGAGCGUCCCAGGCGCACCCAGAACCCUUUGUGAACUUAUACCUUACUGUUGCCUCGGCGCAUGCCGGCCCCCUUGGGGGCCCCUCCUUCUGGAGGAGCAGGCACGCCGGCGGCCAACCUAACUCUUGUUUUUACACUGAAACUCUGAGAAUAAAACAUAAAUGAAUCAAAACUUUCAACAACGGAUCUCUUGGUUCUGGCAUCGAUGAAGAACGCAGCGAAAUGCGAUAAGUAAUGUGAAUUGCAGAAUUCAGUGAAUCAUCGAAUCUUUGAACGCACAUUGCGCCCUCUGGUAUUCCGGAGGGCAUGCCUGUUCGAGCGUCAUUUCAACCCUCAAGCCUGGCUUGGUGAUGGGGCACUGCUUCUUACCCGAGAAGCAGGCCCUGAAAUUCAGUGGCGAGCUCGCCAGGACCCCGAGCGCAGUAGUUAAACCCUCGCUCUGGAAGGCCCUGGCGGUGCCCUGCCGUUAAACCCCCAACUUCUGAAAAUUUGACCUCGGAUCAGGUAGGAAUACCCGCUGAACUUAAGCAUAUCAAUAAGUCGGAGGAA